GUUGCAAUCCCAACUGGAAAAAGGUGUAAGAGUCAACAACUCCUGAGACUUAGGUUCAAGUGCAUGAGUCACAAUCUCAACAGUGGAUUGCAUCCUGCCAUGAGAGCCCCAAUCCCUUCUCCAAGCUGUGUUCCAGUAGAGGAGUCGCAACAUCAAUGGUGUGCUGAAUCCUGGUUGGAGAGUUCCCACUUCACCUGUGGACUGGAUCUGUAUAUAAGAGGAGAGAUGUCGACUCUCAUGCCUGGGCUUAGGGCAAUGGGCAUGAUCCUACAUUUGGGAUUGUAGCAACAACUCUUGACUGCCCUUGGGUGUGAGAUUCAGAACCUCAAUUGUGACCUGUGUACACUUGGGCAUGUGACAAUUUCUACUUUUGGCUGUGUGUUCAUACAAGACUCUCAAUCUCACCUGUGUUCUGGGCCCUGUUAUUAGAC
rnacentral:lncRNA from 1 species